rnacentral:rRNA from 1 species
AUACGGAGGACGCGAGCGUUAUCCGGAUUCAUUGGGUUUAGAGGGUGCGCAGGCGGCCGUGCAAGUCAGCGGUGAAAGCCCGGGGCUCAACCCCGGAAGUGCCGUUGAUACUGCAUGGCUGGAAUGCGGUCGAGGCGGGCGGAACGUGGCGUGUAGCGGGGGAAUGCGUAGAUAUGCCACAGAACGCCGAUAGCGGAGGCAGCUCGCCAGGCCUGCAUUGACGCUCGGGCACGAAAGCGUGGGGAUCGAACAGGAUUAGAUACCCUGGUAGUCCACGCCGUAAACGAUGGGCGCUCGUCGUCGGCGGCAGACAGUCGGCGGCCAAGCGAAAGCGAUAAGCGCCCCACCUGGGGAGUACGGUCGCAAGGCUGAAACUCAAAUGAAUUGGCGGGG